rnacentral:rRNA from 1 species
GCAUAUCAAUAAGCGGAGGAAAAGAAACCAACAGGGAUUGCCUCAGUAACGGCGAGUGAAGCGGCAAGAGCUCAAAUUUGAAAGCUGGCUCCUUCGGGGUCCGCAUUGUAAUUUGCAGAGGAUGCUUCGGGAGUGGCCCCCAUCUAAGUGCCCUGGAACGGGCCGUCAUAGAGGGUGAGAAUCCCGUCUGGGAUGGGGUGUCCACGCCCGUGUGAAGCUCCUUCGACGAGUCGAGUUGUUUGGGAAUGCAGCUCUAAAUGGGUGGUAAAUUUCAUCUAAAGCUAAAUACUGGCCGGAGACCGAUAGCGCACAAGUAGAGUGAUCGAAAGAUGAAAAGCACUUUGAAAAGAGAGUUAAACAGCACGUGAAAUUGUUGAAAGGGAAGCGCUUGCGACCAGACUCGCCCACGGGGUUCAGCCGGCAUUCGUGCCGGUGUACUUCCCCGCGGGCGGGCCAGCGUCGGUUUGGGCGGCCGGUCAAAGGCCCUCGGAAUGUAACGCCCCCCGGGGCGUCUUAUAGCCGAGGGUGCCAUGCGGCCAGCCCGGACCGAGGAACGCGCUUCGGCUCGGACGCUGGCAUAAUGGUCGUAAGCGACCCGUCUUGAAACACGGACCAAGGAGUCUAACAUCUACGCGAGUGUUCGGGUGUCAAACCCGUGCGCGCAGUGAAAGCGAACGGAGGUGGGAACCCCUCGGGGUGCACCAUCGACCGAUCCUGAUGUCUUCGGAUGGAUUUGAGUAAGAGCGUAGCUGUUGGGACCCGAAAGAUGGUGAACUAUGCCUGAAUAGGGCGAAGCCAGAGGAAACUCUGGUGGAGGCUCGCAGCGGUUCUGACGUGCAAAUCGAUCGUCGAAUUUGGGUAUA